GGGGACGUUUUGGAUUUGACAGGGCGUUUUGGUGAAGGUGUAUUGCGUGUCGGAGAGCUGUUCUCCGUUAUCAACGGGCAAAUUAAAUUAAAUGCUAACAAUGUAAUUGAAGCAGACUUCGCUCCUAGAGCAUAUGCAGUUGCUGCAUAGUAGUUUGCGAUUUAGCUACUCAUAGAGCCCAGCUUGCCGGUUUUAUGGGUCCAUUAUGCAAGCGGCAGUGCGCCGAUGCAAAGUGAGCGCAUUAAGACAACUUUGCAAGGUUUAGAGUUUCCUUUAAAUAAAACCUAGGGUUGACUUGUCGGGUUUAGACAUUUUCCUGAGUCAAUUGAGCUAAAAAUAGUCUACACACGUAGAAGUAUAUCUUUAUCCGUUUUGGACAGGGGUUCGAAUCCCCUCGUCUCCACCA
rnacentral:tmRNA from 1 species